rnacentral:tRNA from 1 species
GCGGCGAUGGUGUGGUCGCGGGCGUUCUGGUUGUAGUCCAGGAAGAUCGCGGUCGGGUCGCGGUCCUUGCGCCA